CCAAGCAGCUCGUCCCCGCCGGCGACCGAAGCCACCAGGAUCCCGCUGCCGAAGCAAGCAGCUUCUCCUCGCCAGCCCAUGCGCUCCAGUGACCCCUACCACCGCUUGCCUCUCCCUUCGCCUCGCGCUCCUCUCCUUCUCUCACCUCUCUGCCUUUCUUCAGGAAACUGCAGGAGCGCAGCCGCCCUCGACCCGUCUCCGUCCGACCGACAACGAGCAGUAGCUCGCCGGAGUUGAGCUCCACCGGAUCCGCCUCCCUCUGCCCGUUGCUGGCGCUCCUCCGCCGCUGCAAGCCCCUCGCCGCGCCAUUUCUCCUCUGCAACAAGUGGCAGCUGCAGCCGACGCAACCGUCGCGCGCCCUUGGCUGUGUCGUCUCGUGCCGGACUCCGCCGGAAGGAGCAUCACCGCCAAGUCCAACCGCUGCCCUGAUCCGGUCGCGCCGCCUUGGAUCCGGCAGGUUUCCCGUCGCCGCGCCAAGUCCCGCUUCGCCGUGGCAUCCUAUGCUUCCCCUGCAACGAGCCGCAGCAGCUCGCUCGUCGUCCCGUUGACCGCGCCCCCUCCACCUCCUCGUUCGACGAAGCAGAGGCCCAGCCGCGGCAGAUCCGCCAGCCCAAGCCGGCCUGCUGCACUGACCGGGCCUUGGCCCAUGUUUGCAGUGCCCAGCCUCUCUCCUGUGUUUGUUGGGCUAGGUAGUUUCAGCCCGUGGACGUGUUUUUUUUUCUGGACGAAUUUACUAAUUUUCCUUCACAUGCAUAAUUACAGAAUAUGCCAUCAUGUUAAAAUGCUCACACCUAAAUAACCAUGCAUCGGUUUAAAAUGUUUUAUAUAUGUAACUUGCUUAGGAUUUUAUCUAGUUUCAUAAUUUGCAACUUUCAUCUAUGUUUAGUAUGUUUUAACUGCUGUUUGCUUUAAUUUACUUAAAUGACAUGCUAAAAUGAUUUAAUUCAUAACUAAAUAACCGUAGCUUCAAACCUAACAAACUUUAUAUGUAAAUGGGGUAGAAAAAUGCCUAGUUUAACAUGGUGGCAUCACUUUGCAUGUUUAACAAAUCUAAAAAGUUUUAGGGCAGAACAGUACCAAAUCCAUAAAUUGCACAUGAGGAUUUUUCGGACAUAUUGCUUGUUGUUCCGGCCUCAUUUAAACUUGCCUAGAUAGGUAGUUAUCUUUUGCUUCACCUCUUGCCAUGUUAAUCAACAUUUAAUAUUGUUGGGUACAUAAACGAGAUUGAACUAAAUAACUUGAAUGUGGUGUUCCGUCAAUAUGCAACUCGUUGCAUACUGAGCUCCACUUAACUUGUAGUGUUGUAUGUGCACUUUGCCAUGCCAUGCUUCAUUAAACCGGACAUGCAUCAUACCUGGUUAUGUAUAAUGCCAUGUUGAUGUGGUGGUUGCUUACUAUGUUGUUUGCUUCUUUCCGGUGUUGCUUCUUCGGGUUAGUUCUGAUAACGCCGCGUUUGUGAGGAUCCGUUCGACUACGUCCGUUUAUCUUCUUCAUGGACUCGUUGUUCUUCCUUACGGGAUUUCAGGCAAGAUGACUAUACCCUCAAAAUCACUUCUAUCUUUGCUUGCUAGUUGCUCGCUCUAUUGCUAUGCCAUGAUACCUAUCACUUGCUAUAUCAUGCCUCCCAUAUUGCCAUGUCAAGCCUCUAACCCACCUUUCCUAGCAAACCGUUGUUUGGCUAUAUUACCGCUUUGCUCAGCCCCUCUUAUAGCGUUGCUAGUUGUAGGUGGAUUUGAAGUUUGUUCCAUGUUGGACAUGGAUAUUGUUGGGAUAUCAUUAUUAUCUCUUGUUUACUUGAAUGCACCUAUAUACUUGGCAAAGGGUGGAAGGCUCGGCCUUAUGCCUGGUGUUUUGUUCCACUCUUGCCUCCCUAGUUUCCGUCAUACCGGUGUUAUGUUCCUUGAUUUUGAAUUCCUUACGCGGUUGGGUUAUAAUGGGAACCCCUUGACAGUUCUCCUUGAAUAAAACUCCUCCAGCAAGGACCAACCUUGGUUUUAACAUUUGCCACCUAAGCCUUUUUCCCUUGGGUUCUGCAGACUCAAGGGUCAUCUUUAUUCUAACCCCCCGGGCCAAUGCUCCUCUGAGUGUUGGUUCAAAUUAGAGCCCCUUGCAGCGCCACCUCGGGGAAACUUGAGGGUUGGUUUUAUUUGUACGGACUGCUCAUCCGCUGUGCACUGAGAACGAGAUAUGUGCAGCUCCUAUCGGGAUUUGUCGGCACAUUCGGGCAGCUUUGCUAGUCUUAUUUUACCAUUGUCGAAAUGUCUUGUAACCGGGAUUCCGAGUCUGAUCGGGUCUUCCGGGGAGAAGGAAUAUCCUUCAUUGACUGUGAGAGCUUGUGAUGGGCUAAGUUGGGACACCCCUGCAGGGUUUGAACUUUCGAAAGUCGUGCCCAUAGUUAUGGGCAGAUGGGAAUUUGUUAAUAUCCGGUUGUAGAAAACCUGACACUUAACUUAAUUUAAAAUGAAUCAACCGCGUGUGUAGCCGUGAUGGUCUCUUUUCGAUGGAGUCCGGGAAGAGAACACGGUCUCGUGUUAUGCUUGAACGUAAGUAGUUUCAGGAUCACUUCUAGUUCACGACCGUUGCAUUGCUUCUCUUCUCGCUCUCAUUUGCGUAAGUUAGCCACCAUAUAUGCUAGUGCUUGCUGCAGCUCCACCUCACUACCCUUUCCUACCCAUAAGCUUAAAUAGUCUUGAUCUAGCGGGUGUGAGAUUGCUGAGUACUCAUGACUCACAGAUACUUCCAAACAGUUGCAGGUGCCGAUGAUACUAGUGCAGGUGAUGCAACCCAACUCGAGUGGGAGCUCGAUGAAGAACGUGUUCGUUGUGUUGUUUCCUUUCCUUUCGAUCAGUAGUGGAGCCCAGUUGGGCGAUCGGGGAUCUAGCAUUAGGGGUUGUCUUUCUUUAUUUGGUUCAGUAGUCGGACCUUGAUUGUAUUCUGGAUGUUGUAAUGCUAUACUUAUGUAUUGUGUGAAGUGGCGAUUGUAAGCCAACUCUUUAUCCCUUUCUUAAUUAUUCAGUACAUGGGAUGUGUAAAGAUUACCCUUCUUGCGACUUGCCUACUAUGCGGUUAUGCCUCUAAGUCGUGCUCCGACACGUGGGAGAUAUAGCCGCAUCGUGGGUGUUACAAGUUGGUAAUCAUAGCCUUCCCCGACUUAGGAGCCCCCUGCUUGAUCGAAUUGCUGUUGUUGUUGAGUCUAGAAAAAUGUUUUGAGUCUUAUAGGAUUAUAUAUAUCGG
rnacentral:lncRNA from 1 species